UGGACCGUCUAGUUUUUUUUUUCUCGGCGACGUUUCUUGCGUCCGCUGUAACCGUGGACUAUGAACAGAGGAUGUGUAACAAUUCCUCCUCUGGAAAAAGAUAUCCAGUUGCCUUGAUCUCUCCAGCCGGGUUACACUUCGACGAACGCUUGGGAUUUUUUGUUUUUGUUACGGCUUAAGGAGUGGCGCAUGCAACACUUUUGUUUCUUCUUAACGCACCUUUUACGCUUCCGUAACUAAGUAAGCGAUGAUUAACUUCUCACAGUUGAAAGAACGCGUAUUUGCCACCAGUAACGAAAACAUUGGAUCGAUAACAUUUCCAACCGAAGAAUGAUAAUUUACUGUAUAGUACGUUACGUUAUGUAUUGUAUCGGGUUGGACAAAAAAAUCAUUGUGCGAUCUGAUACCUGAUCGUCCAAGCUUGUUUCGACACGAUUUCGUUGACAAUUGUCGUUUGGUGUCGGUUUCAAAAUGGAAAAUCAAGAAGGAAUUUUCGUCAUAUUUUGCUGCACUACUUCCGAAAAGAAGAAAGACGCUGUUUUUAGAAAUUAUCUAAUGUGUAAUGGUGAAAAAGUCUUCGAAGUAUGACACUGUCAGAAUUGGUUUUGUUAAAUUUCACUACUGAUGAAGAUAUCAAAUCGUUCUUGAAACUGUUUUCUGUCGAAGAAUAUUUUUGAACACGGAAUCAUGAAGUUGAAAGAUCGCAAAAGGCAAAAGAGAGCAGGAGGAUGGCGCGUUAUCGACCAUCGCUGAAAAGAAGGGUCCGCCACUGCACGACAAAAUCUCUCUUCUCACAGAGAAAUCUGUUAUCAGGCUUGGCGCGUGGCGCCUGGUGUUAUCAGGAACGACUGUACACGUCAGGAUCGUGAGUCAGAGCCAGAGCCAAGAGCGACUCGCACGGCGGAGGCCACUUCUCCGGCGUAGUCCCCUCCUGGUGGGGACACGUCGCGUUCGCAGAGGGCAACGACGACGACGACGACGGCGACGACGACGACGACGAAGGAGAGAUCGCCAGUCAAGACCCCGGCGAAGAAGAAAAGAGAGACGAGCGCGGUCGUGGUAAGGCUUACCACGAGGCGGUCGCGAGCGAUCAGUUUGGUCGACGUGCAGAACCGGCGCGGACGUGAAUCGGCCGCCGAUUGUGAACCGGCAGUGAGCUACCAUACAGCACCCAUUCGGAUAAGAGAGCAUUAGCCGGAGGAUGCCUCGUCCCUUCACUGGAUAACGUCACCCUAUUCCUCGUGAUAAUGACACUAAUUAAAACUGAAGAAUGAAACAGGUCCACAAAAAAAAAAGAAAAAAAAAACGGUCCAAUGAUACCUGUUAAGACUUAACGAUAAUCCCUUCGAGAAUACCGACUCCAUAGAAUUUUUUUAAUAAAGCAACUUAAUUUCGUUCGAUCGAUUGCAACGAUUGUAAGGUGUGCUCUCGUUCAGGAGAAACAUUCGCAUUUAACACGAACGGGUAUUCAGGAAGCGAGAAUGUCG